rnacentral:rRNA from 1 species
GACGGAGGGUGCAAGCGUUGUUCGGAAUUACUGGGCGUAAAGCGCGGGCAGGUGGCCUUUUAAGUCCUUUGUGAAAUUCCGGAGCUCAACUCCGGAUGUGCAUAGGAUACUGGAAGGCUAGAGACUGGUAGAGGCGAGCGGAAUUCCUGGUGUAGCGGUGGAAUGCGUAGAUAUUGGGAGGAACACCAGUGGCGAAGGCGGCUACCUGGACCGGUGCUGACGCUGAUGCGCGAAAGCGUGGGGAGCAAACAGG